rnacentral:sRNA from 1 species
AAAAAAUAGAAGAAAAAU